rnacentral:rRNA from 1 species
CCAGACUCCUACGGGAGGCAGCAGUGGGGGAUAUUGCACAAUGGGGGAAACCCUGAUGCAGCGACGCCGCGUGAGUGAAGAAGUAUUUCGGUAUGUAAAGCUCUAUCAGCAGGGAAGAAAAUGACAGUACCUGACCAAGAAGCCCCGGCUAACUACGUGCCAGCAGCCGCGGUAAUACGUAGGGGGCAAGCGUUAUCCGGAUUUACUGGGUGUAAAGGGUGCGUAGGUGGCAGGGCAAGUCAGAUGUGAAAGCCCGGGGCCCAACCCCGGUACUGCAUUUGAAACUGUCCGGCUGGAGUGCAGGAGAGGUAAGCGGAAUUCCUAGUGUAGCGGUGAAAUGCGUAGAUAUUAGGAGGAACACCAGUGGCGAAGGCGGCUUACUGGACUGUAACUGACACUGAGGCACGAAAGCGUGGGGAGCAAACAGGAUUAGAUACCCUCGUAA